rnacentral:rRNA from 1 species
UACAGAGGUCCCAAGCGUUGUUCGGAUUCAUUGGGCGUAAAGGGUGUGUAGGUGGCGCCGUAAGUCGGGUGUGAAAUUUCGGAGCUUAACUCCGAAACUGCAUUCGAUACUGCGGUGCUUGAGGACUGGAGAGGAGACUGGAAUUCAUGGUGUAGCAGUGAAAUGCGUAGAGAUCAUGAGGAAGACCAGUGGCGAAGGCGGGUCUCUGGACAGUUCCUGACACUGAGACACGAAGGCCAGGGAGCAAACGGGAUUAGAAACCCCCGUGUAGUC